GCCGAUUUCUGGAGACGUUCUCUCAGCGCGUUUGCUUCAGCCGAACUCUCUCCCCAUCCCUCGGCCGUCACACCUGCACUACCGCGGCGGCUCUUCAUUAUCCGACUUGUGGAAGUUUACCUGUGCUUUGAAAGCGACGACGAAGUUCAAAGACAGCGAUGGUUCCUUCUCGGAUUGGUCCAUUUGGCAUCGGGAUGUUCCUAGUCGCAACCUUCGUGCUCAGCGCAUCUGAGUCGCCAACCCUGAGAGGAGGCUGGAAGAGGAAGCAAGUGGGGGAGGAUGCGAUAUUCGACGAGUUGGCACAUUACGCCAUAUCCCAACAAGUCAGCGACAGAGAGUUCUUUGACACAGUGCUUGAGCUGGUCGAAGUAGAGACCCAAACUGUCGCCGGCACAAACUACCGAAUCAAGUUCAAGACAGCCGAGUCAACCUGCAGGGUGGGUGAAGUAUACAACAAGGAGGUCUGCCUUCCACGAACUAG